rnacentral:lncRNA from 1 species
AUACAUGAGUUGGUUAGAGAAAAACAAGAUGUUGGUGAUGAGGAGCAGGUGGGGAAGCAUAAAGGCAUUGUCAUUAUUAUGGAAAAGUGUGUCACUUAUAUGGAUGUACUCUAUCUACGAUACUUCGAUUACUUUGAGUGGAUCCAUGAGUACAACUGAGGGGCCGCUUGUUUGGUCUACUCGUACUCUAAGUUAUCAGAGUUCUAGGUGGAAGACGAAGCAUAUGGAAGACAACAUCACACUUUUUACGAUAAUAUUUAUUGGUAUUUUAGUAUUUGUGUGUCAUUUUCAUUUCAUUUAUGCAACUCUCUUACUAAUGAUUCGUGUGUUCCAACACUUCUCAAGCUUGGAUCCUACAACAAUUCUCACACAUCUCUAACUAGUCGUGUGUGUACCGACCUAUACUGAGGAUAUGUUGCAUACUUUUGUAUUUUCCACGUUCAGAAGGAACCAGGCGACAAAGUCAUUCCAAGUGUAUCUUGACCGCUUGGUAGCAGAGGAUAUGAACUUUAUGGCAGCUCUGAUCAGUGGGGCCGGAUGGUAGAGGUCGCUGAGAACAAGAAUCAUGCUGGUUUGGGAUUUCAGCAAGGGUCGUCUGUGAUCAAAGCGGAAGAUAUGCAACCGAGCUUCCGUAGCGGAGGGUUCAUCCAUGGUAAUGAACAACACUCAGCUGCUAUAAUCCAGGAUGAUAAAGAUGAAGACUGCACCAAUUUUGUGACGCGUGGAAAAACUUGCAACAAUUGGACCGCUGUCGAUGUUCCUGUUAUUGUUCAUCGCUCUAAGUAAUUGUUUAAUUAUUUUUGAAAAUCCUUCUCCUAUGCUUAAGGGAGAAGUGAACAUUGUCAGGCAUCUUUGAAAUUCUAGUUAACAGACUUUUGAUGUCACACGGGAUGUUAUGAUAUCCAAUUCUGCGCAGACAAGAAUUAUGCAGAACUUAAAAAGUAAGUGUAGUAAAUAACACAAGGAAUUGUUUACCCUGUUCGGUGUCACACACACCUACGUCUGGGGGCUACCAAGCCAGGGAGGAAAUCCACUAUUAGUAGUAUUAACUCAGACCUUAAACCAACUGUUUAAUCCUAUCACUUAAUACCUACCCAAUGCAAUUUCAAUCUUACACUAAGAUCAAAGUUCCUACUCACUCCCCCUCAAUCACCUCAGUGAUUACAACCUUUAAUUAUAUUAAAGUUUAUAGUGAAGUCACACUUCAAACAACUCUUGAUUGUGCUUGACAACUUUAAUCAAGAUACACAGCACUCACGCAUAAAAGCUUAGAGUGACACAACACUUACAACUCAAUGAACACCCUAGUCCAAUGCAAUCAUCUAGGUGAUAAUUGCUUGGCUCACAAGAUACACCUACUACAAGACACACAGAAAUACAACAGUGAAGUAUAUGACAUAAAAAUCUUCACGCCUAAAAUCCCGAGUUUGAAUGAAGGAUGCCAUCUUUAUAUUUGCAGACUUGGUCUUGUACUUGUAUUCCUGAAAUAAGGUCAAGCAAGUUAACCUAAUUUCCACAUAUUAGGGUACUAACAAAUAGGCUAUUUGUUAGGUUCAUUAAUUGUAGCUCAGUUGUUAGUUUCCUGGAUUUAGCUCAGCUGUUGGAUUCUUGAAAAAUAGCUGAGAAAAACUGAAACAAAAACUAAACCAUCCUACAAUUUAGCAUAUGCUGUCAGGGAAUGAAUGUCACAACAUUCAGUUUGACGUCCAGAACAUGACCAUAUGCUAAGUCUUCUAUUUUUCUGAAAACAGACUGUACAAAAUGCUGUACUGUAAAAGACCAACCAGUCUAUACUUCAGUAUCAGCUUACAGUAAUAAAUGUCAAAACAUCCAAUUUGACAUUUACAGAAUGGGCCUCAUGCCAGGUCUGUUAUCCUCCUGAAGAACAGACUGAGAUACAUACUGAACUGUAGUAGAAAACCAGCAUGCCUAUUAUUCAGUAUAUGCUGCUAAUGAUGAAUGUCAUAACAUCCAGUUUGACAUUCAAACAGUAGGCCUUAUGCCAGGUCUGUUAUUCCCUUGAUAAACAGACUGAAAUUAAAUACUGAGUUAUAGUAGAUAACCAGCUGUUCUACACCUCAGUAUCUGCUGUCAGGGAUGAAUAUCAUAACAUCUAGUUUGACAUUCAGUAAAUCCUGUAUUAGCUAAACCUGCAACAUACUACUCAAGUAUGUCAUGACAUCAGUCAAGACAUCAGAGUACAGUUAGAUGUUCUAACACAAAAUGCAGCCAAUCAAACAUCUCCAAAGCAUGUCANGGGGGCGACAUCAAAGAGCUCAUUCAACUACAUCAAUUUCAAUGAUUACUCAGUUCUGUAAGUUUUUUAUUUAUAGUAAACUUUUUGAGUUUUUGUAUAAUUUGUAGAAAUUAAUGAUGAGGUAUUGAAUACAUAGUUUAUGCAUGUUUUGAUAGUUGAUACAUUAUGAGAAAUGUGUUUCAUAGUUAAAAGUAAUGAGCAAUGCAUUAUUUCUGUUGUCUUAGUGGUCUGCAUUAGUGCCAUCACGAAAACGAAAUUGUGAAAAAUUCGGAGAUGGAUUUCCGUAUGUUUCAACAUUUGGAUUCCAAGAACGCGAGAUACAUCUUUAUAUUUUAUCAGUAAUUUUUUUUUUUUACUUUUUCUUGCUUGUAGGGUUACUUGUAGUAAUUGCUGACACUUGUUUUGUUUACUUACAAGCAUCAAUGGUUGAUAGAGACGACAAAUUGAGGCACGAGAUGAUCGCAUAUCAUGCAUCUGUCAGGAGGAAAAAGAUUCAGGUUUCGCCGAUCCUUUCGCUAGCCUAGUGAUGCGUAAGCGUCGACUCCUGAGGCUCAUAUAUCUCCAUCUUAUUCUUCCGUAGGAGAUAGGUGUCACCUAAUGACACAUCACUACCUCUAUCUUCUCGUAGGCGUUAGUUUCACUUACUCAUGUAGCAGACGCCUGAUUCACUAGAGGACACAGUGCCACCUAGGCACGGAGGGAUCUCAUGCCCGAUUAGCAACAUAAGUAUUGGAGGAGGCUGUGAGGUGUCACUCCUGCCUCUUUACUUGGACUAUACGACCAGACAUAUAUGAGACAAAGAGGUAAAGUUAGUGGAUUUAGUUCUUUUUAAAUUACGUUUAUUCUUAUGUUACAAGUUUCUGAUGAUGAUUUAUUUUUCUGCAGGACUGUGAUCCGUUAAAUUCAAUUAACCAUGGACGAAAUAUUACUGGCUUGCAUCAGCUUACUGACAAGUGGUUUCAGGCUGCUUUACAACUAUCUGGAUGAAGGACUAUGCAAAAACAAUAUAUUACGACGAACCACAAGAUGCUUAAUGCAUUGUAGAGAGACGACAUACUGAGACCUAUCAUUUUAUCUACCACUUGGUGAGAUGUCUAUCACAACUCGACGAUGUGUCGGUGUGCUGCCAUCUUCCGAUUAGGAAAAACUUUUAGAUCAUGGGGUUUUAGCAAAGAUGAGGUACUUGAGUUGAUGGUAGACUAUCUGGAAGUUGACCCAAACGCUACUUGAAGGAGUUUGAUAAACCAUAAGGCCUAUGCUAGUUUGGAUUCUUGGAGAAGGUUAUACAUGAGUUGGUUAGAGAAAAACAAGAUGUUGGUGAUGAGGGCAGGGGGGAAGCAUAAAGCAUUGUCUUAUUAUGGAAAAUGUGUCACUUAUAUGGAUGUACUCUAUCUACGAUACUUCGAUACUUUGAGUGGAUCCAUGAGUACAACUGAGGGCCGCUUGUUGGUCUACUCGUACUCUAAGUUAUCAAGUUCUAGGUGGAAGACGAAGCAUAUGGAAGACAACAUCACACUUUUUACGAUAAUAUUUA